UCCACCUGAAAAAAUGUAAAACAAGGGGGGUUGGAGAUUUAGCUCAGUGGUAAAGCGCUUGCCUAACAAGACUAAGGCCCUGGGUUCGGUCCCCAGCUCUGAAAAAAAAAUAAGAAAAAAAAUGUAAAACAAGGAGUCUUCUUUAUCAUGUGUUAUUAACAAAAGCAGCACUUCAAGUGAAGCAAUUCUAAACAAUUUAAUAAAUUCCAUACAAUCGCAUGCAAGUAAUUCAAAUGGAAAAGGUGCAAGGAUGUGCCUGAGAAUAAGAGCUUUGUGUUAAUUAAUCUUGACUUUAUUGGAUGAAAAACUGAACAGGAGACUAGGAAAGCACACUUCUGGGUGUAUAUGUGAGGUUGUUCCCAAGGCCAUUAACUAGGAAGGUAACGCCUUCCCUGGACAUGGGUGUUACUAUCCAAUGCACUGAGAGAUUGAAAUAAAGGAAAAAGAAGGAGGACAUUCCAUAGCAGAGCCAGGCUUCUAUUUGCUUUCUGCCUGCCAUGACUAAAUAGGUUUCCUCCACCAUGCCCUUCCUCCAUUCUUCUUCAUGGCCACCAGUCCAAAAGCAACAGAGCCAGCUGACCAUAGAUGUAAAACUCUGAAAGCAUGGGCCAAAAAAAUACCCCCCCUUAGGCUGUGCUAGAAACAACUGUGGCAGCAGGGAAGAGAUACAGAACAACAUGGGGAAAUGACAAGGAAAACUAUGAUAAGGUCCUAGAAGUCAUCUGUAAUGAAAAUGCUAAUUUGGCCAGAAUACAAAUUAAAUUCACUUCUAUAAUAUUUCCUACCUUUAAAACCUAUUUAUUUACUCAUUCAAUAUGUGUGGAUGAUUUGUCUGCAUGUAUCUCUGUGCACCCUCUGGAUGCCUGGUGCCUUCAGAGGCCAGAAGACUCUGCUAGAUCUGGAGUUACAGAUUGGAAGCUGCCAUGUGGGUGCUUGGAAUGGAAACCAAGUCUUAGCCACUCAGGUAACUUCACAGCCUCCUGUUUCCUACUUUUAAUUAAUUAGUAUAUAUAGUUAAGUUCACUUAGUUUAACUGCCAAUAUAUUAAUUACUACUGUUUCUCGGAACUCUCAAGAGAUUCCAGCACACACACACACACACACACACACACACACACACACACACACACUAUGCUUUAUGACUUCCCUUGGGAUUUAAAGGCAAGCGAGUGAAUAUAAUUCCCUAGUCAGAAGACAGUGCUCUUAAGUAAGCCCUUUAUGUGUUAGUGUCUCAGUACACCAAACGCUUUAUUUCUCAUAGAACUCAGGCUUCGUAGCAAGGAAUUUUUUUCAUUCAUUUUCUCACUUUCAACAACGUAGGAAAGGCGUCACUUUUCAGGCCAGUUAAUAUGGGGGUUUAGAGACUGGAGAGAUGGCUCAAUUGUCUGCUCUUCCAGAGGUCCUGAGUUCAAUUCCCAGCACCACAUGGUGGCUCACAACCAUGUGGACAUGCAGAAAUAGCAUGUUGUAUACAUAAAAUAAAUGAAUGACUCUUAAGAAAAGAUUGCUUUUUAAAAAAAUAUGGGGUUUUGUUGUUAUCUGAUGGUUAGGAAAAGGUGUCUCAGUGAAGGACUAUGGAGCUGAGAUUGAAUCGUGAGCAUGUCUGUAGGGGAUCGUCUUGACUGAAUUGAUGUGGGAAGAUCCAGCCUGAAUAGAGGCCGCACCAUUCUGUGUUGCAGGAUAUUUGAUCACAUUGGCAACUCCAAGAUUGUGAACUGGGAAAACCUUGUUGUAGUAUGGCUCAGCUCUAGCACACACCUUUGAUCCAAAAGCUAAAUAAAGUCAACCCUAGGUCAAGAGGCAAAGCAAGUAACCAGCCAACAGGGAGUGAACAUAAGUAAACAGAAAGGAGGGACACUGAGGAAAAGGGUAUUUUUUAAGACAGCAUGGGGAGACAGAGGCUUUUUUGUUCUGGGACAUCAGUGAAUAGGAAGGUCAGCUGGGUGCUUUUUCUGCCUCUCUGAGCUAGCAGACUGUCACCCCAGCAGCCAGUUGGAAUCUUCAUUGGUAAAAUGGAAUGGCUAGGAUGUUUGCUUUGAAAACAACAGGACUGUAUCUGAGUAGAGAAAGCUAACUUCGUAGCAGGCAAGCAUGCUUCCACUGUCUGUGACCAGCUGUUUCAAUGUCGUGCCUAUAUGAAUUCCCCACAAUGACGGACUACAAUGUGGAACUACAGCUAGAAUAAACACUGUCCCCUUUAAAGCUGCUUUUGUCAGGGAGCUUCAUCACAGCACCCAAAGUGAAACUAGGACAUUCUCCUUUGUACAAAGUGACUUACUACCAAGACAAGAGGAAAGCAGAAGAGACAAGCGUGAAGAGAAGGGAAUCCAUGCCAGGCAAGGAAACUUCAAUUCACACCCAGGAUCCUCAGGCUUAGGAAGAGUUUCUGGCAGCUUCAGCCCAGGUGGCUAAGAGCAGGCAUGACGCUUCAACUCCACUGUCAAUGUGACUGGAUCUAAAAUAAUCUAUGACACCAAGCUGGGAAUCGGAUCUGUGUGAUUCUCACCCAUUAUCAAAGAAGCUUCCUUCCAUGGGAGAUGGGAACUAACACAAAGACAAAGCUACUGGACAGUGCACAGAGAGAGAGACUUUGGAACUCUUGGUCCUAAAUGGGAUGUCUUCCUCCAACCCAUCCUCUCAGGGAUUAGGUAAAUAUAUGGAAGAGGAGGUAGAAGAUGGUAAGAGCCAGUGGGGAUAGAGGACACCCAGAAACGAGUGUCUUCUAGUGUCUUCUACACACAACAGCACUGAUGCUCGCAUGAACUCGCAGACACUGUGACGGCAUGCACAGAACCUGCAUGAAUCCAAGCCAAAAGGGGUCCCAGAUUUGACAGUGGAAGCAGAAAUGAGCCACUGUCCUUAAUGCAGGAGCUAUCUCCAACUGUCAACCUCCACCAAGCAGUCUCACCAGGGUACAAACUAUGCUCAAGGGCAGGCUUCAAGGCAGUAGAUGGCCAACACAAAAUGAACUCCGUGGAAAGGUUAUUUAAACCUCAUAAUGUUUUGCUAUGUCUGGGCAUUUUCUAUAUCUUACUGAUCUGUGGCCUAUAUAUCAUUAUGGUUUCUGAUUUGGUGUUUUUCGGGGGUUUGUUUGUAUGUGUGUCUGUAUGUCUGUGUAUCUGUGUAUCUGUGUGUCUGUGUGUCUGUGUCUGUGUGUCUGUGUGUAGGUGUUUCUCAUACCUUUUCUUUGCUUUUUUUCUGUUUUGUUUUAUUUUGGUUUAUCUGUUUUAUUAUCUGCCUGGUUUGUUUUGUUUCCUAAAGAGAGAAAGAGAAGGCAUGGUGUUGGAUGGGUGAGGAGGAACCGUGAUCAGAAUAUAUUUAUGAAAAAAAAUUAUUUCAAAUAAAUAAAUAAACCACAAAAUCUCCCAGGAGACAUGAUACUUGACAUGUCUGUGAAGGUUUUUCCAGUGAGGUUUAACAAAAGAAGUAGAUUCACCCUGAGGGUAGCACCAUCCUACGGGCUGAGAUCUCAUGUUAAUUUAAAGCAAACAACAACAACAACAAAAUGACAAAAGAGGCAAGUCAGCUAUCAGUUCAUGACUUGUCUCUACCCUUCAAAGGCCAUCUGACCAGUCUCCCCACACUUUGAUACUGUGACUUCUGUGCCGUGACAGACUGUAUUCAAGUCGUGAGUCUUUUUUUUUAAUAUUUAUUUUAUUUUUACGAAUACUCUGUCACUGUCUUCAGACACACCAGAAGAGUGCAUUGUAUUCCAUUAUAGAUGGUUGUGAGCCACCAUGUGGUUGCUGGGAAUUGAACUCAGGACCUCUGGAAGGGCAGUCAGUGCUAUUAACCACUGAGCCAUCUCUCCAUCUUGAGUCUUUUUUUUUUUUUUUUUUUUUUUUGGUCAGGAAUUUUUGUCAGAGCAAUGAGAAAAGUAACUGCUAAGCUGGCAAUGCAUGCAUGGAUGCAUGCUCACUAGGAGAGUAGAGCAAAUCACUCACUCAGUCACUCCCUCCCAUACAGUAGAAGUCCUACAUUGUUAUCCCUAAGGCCCCUUCCUGGUAUCUGGUCUGACUGUAGAUAAAAGGUCCUACAAAUAGUUAUUCCUUCCUUCCAUUUUCUAGGCAAAGGAGGAAUAGUUCCCUUUGGAGGUUUCUGAUCUAUGACUUAGCACAGUCGGUUUGAAAUCCCACACCUAAUGCCACAAGGGUUUCUAUCUGUGGAAGUUUUAAUAUGAUUGGCCCAUAGGAAAUGGUGCUGUUAGGAGGUGCGGCCUUGUUGGAAAAAGCGUGUCACUGUGGGAGUGGGCUUUGGAGGGCUCCUCCUACGCUCAGGCUCCACCCAUUGCAGAAGAGCGCUUCCUCCCUACUACCUGAGGAUGUCAGUCUCACCUGGUUGCCUUCAGAUCAAGAGGCAGAGCUCUCAACUCCUCCUCCGGCAAUAUGUACGCCUGCUGCCCUGCUUCCCGCCAUGAUGAUAAUGGACUGUACCUCUGAACCUGUAAGCCAGCUCCAAUUAAAUGUGGUCCUCUGUAAGAGCCGCUUUGGCCAUGGUGUCUCUUCACAGCAAUGGAAACUCUAAGACACUAUCUUUCUCUACCCCAAACCCCAGUGCCUUCACUUCCUUCUCACUCUGGAACAACAGAACUUUGGGAACCAGUUGCAUCACAUCUGCCCUUAGCUCACCCAUUGCUCCUCCUUUCUGAACUAGAUUGGAAGGCUUCCCUUUCCCUAGAUGGCUCAGCCCAGCUAUUGCAGCUUCUCAAAUGCUUAGCUCUAGGAUUCUUUUUUUUUUUUCUAUUCUGUUUUUCGGAGCUGGGAACCGAACCCAGGCCCUUGUGCUUGCUAGGCAAGCACUCUACCACUGAGCCAAAUCGCCAACCCCUAGCUCUAGGAUUCUUAACCCACGCCACACACCAUUGCAAACAGCCAAAAAGAGAGAAUCUAAUGCUGGGGGCCAGAGAGAUGGCUCAGCAGUUAAAAGCACCCACUGCUCUUGAGGACCCAGCUCGGUUCCCAGCAGUCAUACAGCAGGGCACAACCAUCUGUGACUCCAGUUUCAGGGGGACCAAUGUCUUAUUCUGGUCUCCACAGGAAUGCCUGUGGUACAAAGAUAAACAUUCAGACAAAACACUCAUACACAUAAAACAAAAGUAAAUAAAUCUUUAAAAAAAAACUUUAAUGCUUAUGUACUAUUGUACCAUCGUAGUGAAUACCUGCAAUCCCAAAUAUUAGACGUCUGAGGCAGAGUACUUCCCAGGAGUGCAAGACUAGCCAGCAAAACCCUGACUAGAUAGAUAGAUAGAUAGAUAGAUAGAUAGAUAGAUAGAUAGACAGACAGACAGACAGAAAAAUAGCUCAGAGAGGUAAAGGUAUCUGAGGAUCUGAGUUUAAUACCUGGGACUCACAUGGUAGAAGGAGAGAACCAAUUCCUAAAAGUUGCCCUCUAACACACACACACACACACACACACACACACACACACACACACACCACACACACACCACUCCAUGCUGUGGCAUGCAUAAGCCCCGGCAACAAAACUAACAGACAAAAAUUUAAUUCAAAAUAUUUUUUCUUUUUUUUUUUUUUUCCCGGAGCUGGGGACCGAACCCAGGGCUUUGCGCUUGCUAGGCAAGCGCUCUACCACUGAGCUAAAUUCCCAACCCCUUAAUUCAAAAUGUAAUAGUUCUUUUAUGUUUUAAAAAUCUAAUUCGGGACUGAAGAGGUGGUUCAGCAGUUAAGAACACGGGCUGCUCUUCCAGAGGUCCUGACUUCAGUUCCCAGCAACCACAUGGUGGCUCAUAGCCAUCUGUAGUGGGAUCGGAUGCCCUCUUCUGGUGUGUCUGAAGACAGCCACAGUGUAGUCUUAUACGCAAAAUAAAUAAUUCUUUUUUUAAAAAAAUCUAAUUCUAUAAACUUUCAAAGUAGUCAUCCCAUGCACGUAGGGCUAUGAUUACAGCCUAAAAGGGGAAAUGCAAGUACCCACCUGAUCUCACCUGCUGACUAAUCUCAUGCUACACACACCAGCAAGGACCUUCCAGACAGAAGACACAUCACAGAUACACACACUGUGAUCUCAGGGAGGCCUACGGUACGCACAUCUUCACAGGCACCUUAGUCUCUCAUGCCCACACCAAGCUCAUAGCCUCUUAUCUGUUCCUCUCACAUGCUCAGACUCUACAACUUCAACAACCCUACAUCCCUAAAGUCUUCCAAAUACCACACCAUGGUUCCGAGUAUCCCUUUCAUCCAAGCUGAUCUUACGCAGAACUGCUCGUCCUUUUCUCCCAUUCCCACCCACAUGAAUGUGAUGUUUUCUGGGCACAGAGGUAUACUACUAUAACCCCCCCCC